rnacentral:siRNA from 1 species
UCGAGUGGCAGCCCGAGUGGU